UGCUCCCAAAACAAGGAUGGAGGAAGGCAACGUUGAGCUGAUGUCUGCCCUCACUGAGGCCACCAAGUGUGUGGAGGAGUUUAGGUCUGCAGAGUGACUCCAGUCCUCAGGCGGGCCAAGGCUUCAGAGGAUACCAGGCUGAGGAUCAAUGGGGAUUCAGUUCUUACUUCCGGACUUUAUAUUUUCUAAGGCUUAUGGAUUUACGCCUUUAUAUUUCCUAAGGCUUACGGUUAUACUAUAGUGUUACGUAGUGUUGUCGGGAGCAUUUAUUGGUGCAGCAGUUACUUGCAUCCUGAGUGUUGCAGGGUGUGGCUGUUACUCUGCACUUGUGUACCCAGGCAGGUUUUUACACACCUUUUCAGGCACUUGUGUACCCAGGCAGGUUUUUACACACCUUUUCAGGCACUUGUGUACCCAGGCAGGUUUUUACACACCUUUUCAGGCACUUGUGUACCCAGGCAGGUUUUUACACACCUUUUCAGGCACUUGUGUACCCAGGCAGGUUUUUACACACCUUUUCAGGCACUUGUGUACCCAGGCAGGUUUUUACACACCUUUUCAGGCAAGGUAUUUUGCUUUCAUAUCUUCACCUUAGUUUCAGGAUGUCAUUUUCACCUUUUGUAGAUUUUUUGUAUAUUGCAAACAUUUAUUUUACUAAACUUCUACAAAUUUUGGUGAUUUUCCUUCCAUACUCUGUCUUUCACUACAGUGGUAAUAUAUGUAUAUCUCCAUAGUAAAACUCUAAUGCUAAUAA